GACGAACCGUGCGAACGUUGUUCGGAAUCACUGGGCUUAAAGGGCGCGUAGGCGGUCUGCCAAGUCCGGGGUGAAAGCCCCCAGCUCAACUGGGGAAGUGCCUUGGAUACUGGUGGACUCGAGCGAGGUAGGGGUCGUGGGAACUUCCGGUGGAGCGGUGAAAUGCGUUGAUAUCGGAAGGAACGCCGGUGGCGAAAGCGCACGACUGGACCUCUUCUGACGCUGAGGCGCGAAAGCGUGGGGAGCAAACAGG
rnacentral:rRNA from 1 species